rnacentral:rRNA from 1 species
AUUGAACGCUGGCGGCAGGCCUAACACAUGCAAGUCGAGCGGAUGACGGGAGCUUGCUCCUUGAUUCAGCGGCGGACGGGUGAGUAAUGCCUAGGAAUCUGCCUGGUAGUGGGGGACAACGUUUCGAAAGGAACGCUAAUACCGCAUACGUCCUACGGGAGAAAGCAGGGGACCUUCGGGCCUUGCGCUAUCAGAUGAGCCUAGGUCGGAUUAGCUAGUUGGUGGGGUAAUGGCUCACCAAGGCGACGAUCCGUAACUGGUCUGAGAGGAUGAUCAGUCACACUGGAACUGAGACACGGUCCAGACUACUACGGGAGGCAGCAGUUGGGAAUAUUGGACAAUGGGCGAAAGCCUGAUCCAGCCAUGCCGCGUGUGUGAAGAAGGUCUUCGGAUUGUAAAGCACUUUAAGUUGGGAGGAAGGGCAGUAAGUUAAUACCUUGCUGUUUUGACGUUACCGACAGAAUAAGCACCGGCUAACUCUGUGCCAGCCGCCGCGGUAA